AAUCAACGCUGGCGGCGUGCCUAACACAUGCAAGUCGAACGCGAAAGGGGAGCAAUCCCUGAGUAGAGUGGCAAACGGGUGAGUAACACGUGGGUGACCUGCCUUCGAGUGGGGGAUAACGUCCCGAAAGGGACGCUAAUACCGCAUGACAUCCUGCUCUUGGAAGAGCGGAGAUCAAAGCUGGGGAUCGCAAGACCUGGCGCUUGAAGAGGGGCCCGCGCCUGAUAGCUAGUUGGUAGGGUAAUGGCCUACCAAGGCAACGAUCAGUAUCCGGCCUGAGAGGGCGGACGGACACACUGGGACUGAGACACGGCCCAGACUCCUACGGGAGGCAGCAGUGGGGAAUUGUUCGCAAUGGGCGCAAGCCUGACGACGCAACGCCGCGUGGAGGACGAAGAUCUUCGGGUCGUAAACU
rnacentral:rRNA from 1 species